rnacentral:rRNA from 1 species
GCCGUAGACGCGGAGGAAGGCUCUUGGGUUGUAAACCUCUUUUCUCAGGGAAGAAGCUCUGACGGUACCUGAGGAAUCAGCCUCGGCUAACUCCGUGCCAGCAGCCGCGGUAAUACGGAGGAGGCAAGCGUUAUCCGGAAUUAUUGGGCGUAAAGCGUCCGCAGGUGGCGAUUCAAGUCUGCUGUCAAAGCACGGGGCUUAACUCCGUUAAGGCAGUGGAAACUGAAUAGCUAGAGUGCCGUAGGGGUAGAGGGAAUUCCCGGUGUAGCGGUGAAAUGCGUAGAGAUCGGGAAGAACAUCGGUGGCGAAAGCGCUCUACUGGACGGCAACUGACACUCAGGGACGAAAGCUAGGGGAGCGAAUGGGAUUAGAUACCCCAGUAGUC